rnacentral:rRNA from 1 species
GACGAACGCUGGCGGCGUGCCUAAUACAUGCAAGUAGAACGCACAGUUUAUACCGUAGCUUGCUACACCAUAGACAGUGAGGUGCGAACGGGUGAGUCACGCGUAUGUAACCUGCCUGGUAGCGGGGGGUAACUAUUGGAAACGAUAGCUAAUACCGCAUAAUAUUGAUUAUUGCAUGAUAAUUGAUUGAAAGCUGCUAUUGCAUCACUACUAGAUGGUUCUGCGGUGGAUUAGCUAGUAGGUGAGGUAACGGCUCACCUAGGCGAAGAUACAUAGCCGGCCUGGGAGGGUGGUUGGCCACACUGGGACUGGGACAAGGCCCAGACUCCUACGGGGAGCAGCAGUAGGGAAUCUUCGGAAAUGGACGAAAGUCUGGCCGAGCAAAGCCGCGGGAGGGAAGAAGGUUUUCGGAUCGUAAAGCUCUGUUGUAAGAGAAGAACAGGUGUGAGAGUGGAAAGUUCACACUGUGACGGUACCCUACCAGAAAGGGACGGCUAACUACGUG